AGCAGGCUCUUAACUGCUUGGCAGUUGGCAUGACAAAUAAAAAGCUGUCCUUCAUGCAUCGUUUAGCUUAUCCUCCGUUCUAGAUAUUGGUUAUUUUGACUAGAGAACAGCAGAAACAUAGGCAACAAUUUUAGGGCAAUGUUCAUCCCUGAGACACACUCCAGACGUUGCAUACCCCAGAUGAAGCCCAUAACUAAACCCAAGUAUGCAUGCAAUCGCGGUUUCUGUCUCCUGAACUUGACCCUUUUAUCUGCAGCUACUAACUUAGUUGAAGAAUGGGUACACAAUGGAGCUUCUUCGUUUGGUUCUCUAAUUGAAAUAACCCAAAUAAACAAAGAGAGAUGGAAAAUAGGUUUGACAAUGUAUUUUCGACUGAAGGAUCUUUACUGCUUAAGCCAGUAUGUGCACAUUGUCUUACCUCAGACUCAGAUAAGCUGGACCUUAAUUUCUGAAAGUUUCCCAAACUUCCAGGGAUUUCCUUUACAAAUCCCUUUAAGAUUCUUAUGUUAUUUCGUUUGGAUUGAACAUGUCGAAGAAAUGGUUCCUGCUUCGACCGGGGAGUGGGAUGAGGCACAGAGAAGUAUAUUUGACAGGUGUAUUUUGGAUCCAGAGAUGUAAUGUCCUACUUUCUAAUCGAAUUGGCACAUAAACUAGUAUUUCCAAGCAAAAUGAAGACAUGAUCACCUAUUGGAAAGCUUUUGCCAUAAAUAAUAGGAGUCCUACAAUAAUCUCUGAUACAAGCAGUGGUAUGCAAAUGCAGAGUGAGUAGGUAAGAUUGGGCAGUAACUGAGUGCAAGAGAAAUUGCUAGAGCUGCAAGACCUUGCUGGACAUGAGAAAGCCAAUUUGUAGGAG